rnacentral:rRNA from 1 species
AACGAACGCUGGCGGCAGGCCUAACACAUGCAAGUCGAACGCCCUAGCAAUAGGGAGUGGCAGACGGGUGAGUAACGCGUGGGAACGUGCCUUUCGGUUCGGAAUAACUCAGGGAAACUUGAGCUAAUACCGGAUACGCCCCUCGGGGGAAAGAUUUAUUGCCGAAAGAUCGGCCCGCGUCCGAUUAGCUAGUUGGUGUGGUAAUGGCGCACCAAGGUGACGAUCGGUAGCUGGUCUGAGAGGAUGAUCAGCCACACUGGGAACUGAGACACGGCCCAGACUCCUACGGGAGGCAGCAGUGGGGAAUAUUGGACAAUGGGCGCAAGCCUGAUCCAGCCAUGCCGCGUGAGUGAUGAAGGCCCUAGGGUUGUAAAGCUCUUUCGCCAGGGACGAUAAUGACGGUACCUGGAUAAGAAGCCCCGGCUAACUUCGUGCCAGCCGCCGCCGUAACAC